AGCAUACACAUCAGCGAGUAAGGAGCAAUGGGGAUCAUUGUAAGGUUUGUCUGCCACAAUAUUGCUAGCAUUAGGUUUUAUUGUAAAUUCAUUUUAUCUGUUUGAGAAAGUUUCUUUCUAUACCUAGUUUAUAGAAAGUUUUUAAUAAUGAAUGGAUAUUGAAUAUAUUAACUGUUUUUCUGCAUCUUAUUAAUGAGCAUAUAAGUUUUAGCCUUUAAUAAGUAAAGGAAGUGGUUUACGUUAAUUGAUUUUUGGAUGUUAAACUCAUGUAGUAUUUUGGGGAUACAUUUCAUAUUAUAAUUCUAUAUAGUACCAGAUUUUACUUGCUAAUAUUUUAUUGAAGGUUUUGAGGUGAAUGUUUAUGAUUUGUAUGUGUCCUUAAUUUUAUUUCUUGUAAUAUCAUGAUAAUCUUCUCAUAUAAUUACAAUGUUGUUCUCAUACAACAAUUUUAAAGGUAUUCUCUCAUGUUAUCAAAGAGUUGUGGAAACAUUAAUAUUGCUUAUUUCUUAAAUGUUGGAUAGGAUUUAUUGGUAAAUGCUCAUUUUUUUCACGGUAAUGUUUAUUUUUGCUAAGUAUACUUACGUAAUAUAAAUAUAAUCUUUCAAAUUUUCUUUUGAUGAGAAUUUUUAGGGUAUGCAAUUUUUUAUCCGUUCAUUUUUAACUACCCUUUUUCCUUUGAUUUAAAAUGGGAUUCUAUUGGCAGUGUAGGGUGUGGCAUUGUUUGUUUUUUAAUUUUAUUAUGAUAAUCUCUUUUUUUAAUGGGAGUCAUUAGACCACUUACUUUUAAUGUAAUUUGUUGCUUUGUUUGGACUUAAGCCUGUCUUAUUUUUGUUAUUUUAUUAUCUUAUAUAUUCUUGAGUCCUUCUCCUUAAUGUUUUGCCUGCCUUCUUUUAGAAUAGUUGAUUUUUUUAUGAUUCCAUUUUAUCUUCAGCCUUGUCUUGGUAGUUUAACUACAUUAUAUAUAUUUUUAUUAAUUGUAUUAGAAUUUACAAUAUACAAGUUUAAUUAUAACAAUUUGCAUUCUAAUAAUAUUAUGUCAUUUAAUUGCAACUCUAUGCUCCCAUUUUCUCUUCCCAGUUCUGUGUAAUGGUAGUUAUACAAUUUUCAUUCUGCAUAUGCUAUAAACCCCAAAAUAUAUUUUUUUAACUUUACAUAGACUCAUAUUUUAAAAUAAUAAAAAAACAGGGAAAAUGCUUAUAUAUACAUCCAAUAUUCUCCAUGUCCUUGUGUAAACCCAAAUAUCUAUCUGGCAAUAUGUUUCAUAAACUGGAAAACUGUUAUAUUAAAGUAUUUUUCAUAGGGCAGAUCUACCGACAAUGAAUUCUCUCAUCAUUUCUCUUUGUAUUUAAAAAAUUAUUUUACCUAAAUUUAAAAAAAUUGAUUUUCUAGGCUAUAAGAUUUUGUGUUGACAGGUUUUCUGUUUUUUUAUACUUUAUAAUUUUUGCUGUACAAUCUUCUGUUAUUGUUAUUACUACAAUUUUACUGUGAUUUUUUAUGUUUUCUUAAUUUCAAUAUAUUUUUCUCUUUUCUUCUUGGUUUUUAGCUGUAGGAAUUUGAUGGGCCUAGAUAUAUUUUUUCUCUGUGUUCAUUGUUUUCUAUGUUUUCUGAGUUUUACACAUCUGUGAUUUGGAAUCAUUCAGUAAUUUCGGAAAAUAAUGAGCCAUUCUUUUUUCAAAUAUUCCUUCUACUCUGUUCUUCCCCCUUUGCCUCCUAGGAUUCUAGUUACAUGUAGAGGAUUUAUUACUUCUCAAAGCCUUUGGGUCCUUUAUUAUGUAUCUUUAACUUAUUUUCUCUUCUUCAUUUUCAUUUUGACCAUUUCUAGUAAUUUAUAGUGAAGUUUGCUCAUUUUUUCAUCUUCUGUAUCUGGUCUUGUAAUAAACCCAUUGAAGAAAUUCUUCACUUCUGAUAAAAAAAUGCGUUAUUUUAACAUUUGCCUUUCACUGUGUUCUGGUUUCCAGCUCUCUUCUCAGAGUCUUGUGACUAUUUGGAAUUUAGUUUACCUAGUUGCCUUGCAACCUCAGCAUUAUGAAGAGGUCAAUAAUAGUUUUGAUUUCACAGAUUAACAAUUUAUUUUGCCAUUAGAGAUGGAAUGAUGUUUUCUUGCAACUUUCUACAUUUUAAUGAGAAAAAAACUCUUCAAAGUUUGGCUUUAAUCUGUUAAACCAGAUCCAGUGUAUCACUAAAGGAUUGGUGUUCACCUUUCUGAGGUUUCAGCUGAAUAUCAGAAAGGUCACUAAUGUCACUCCAUGCUGGUUCCUGGGAAACCAAACAACUCCCAGCAUUUUGCAACUUCUAUAAUGUCUGUUCACCUCAGAGCUCCCCGAUACCAUUUCUCACUCAAAACUUGCAGAGUCUUUUCCUGUGCAUGCAUAGGCUAUUAUUGAGAUAAACAAUGAAAGAAUUACUUAUUUCAAUUUCUGGACCUCCUCUUCUCUAGUACUCUGCCUUACAAAGUCUAGCAACUUUAGCCUCCUCAACUCUGAUCUCUGUUUCUUCAUUUCAGUGGGACCACCAGGAUAUUCUUGGACUUUUAACUUCCUGCAUUGCAACAUUGUAAGUGUGUACAGGCCUAAAGCUGAGAAAUUUUUGUGUGUUUCAUUUUAUGUUUUUCCUUCCCAUAGGAUUCAUAGUUCUAUGCUAUCGAUUGUCUAACAUAAAUGAAGUUGUUUUUCAUAUGCUUUUUAUCAGUUUUCUAAUUGUUUAUGAGUGGAAGGAUAGUCCAAAAUGGUUAGUCCAUUAGGACUUCAAGCUGACUCUAUCAUUUAUUUAUCUUAAUAAUAUUAUAAACAACUUUAAUAGUGAAACAGAAUCUGGCACAGAUCUAUAAAGCCAUUGCAUAUAUCUUUUUUCAUUUUUUAUUUUAUAUUACUUGCCUCUACAAACACUAUUUUAAAUAAAGCAAAUGCGUUCAAGUUUGAAAAUGAGAACGAAGACUCUGUAUCUAUCAAAUGUUUUCUUCCAUUCAUUUAUUCUGGAUAACCUAUCAAAACAAAAUUAAAAACAAAUACAAAUGCAAAACCAUGGAAGCCAACUAUCCACUACAGAAUUCAAUCAGAGCUCAGAACUUAGUGAUAAUAUCACAAAAAUCUUAUUUUACAGAUAUUUAAACCUGACAAAAUAGGUUUUUAAAAGAAAAUUAAUAAUGGCUUUUGCUGUUAGAUAUGGGAUUUAACUUAAUAGAAUUUAGUUGUGGAUCCUGUUGAGUUUUUUCCCAUUCUUUUUCUAAAACAAAAAUGUCAUUAAACAUAAGUCAAAAAGAGAAGAAAAAGUAAUUAAGAAGCAAAUAUCAUAAAAAUUUAUUUUGAACUCAAAAUAGCC
rnacentral:lncRNA from 1 species